rnacentral:rRNA from 1 species
CACGUAGGCACCAAGCGUUGUCCGGAUUUAUUGGGCGUAAAGAGCUCGUAGGCGGUUCGGUUAGUCGGGUGUGAAAACUUUGGGCUCAACCCAAAGCGUGCACUCGAUACUGCCGUGACUAGAGUUCGGUAGGGGAGUGGGGAAGUUCCUAGUGUAGCGGUGAAAUGCGCAGAUAUUAGGAGGAACACCGAUGGCGAAGGCAGGUCUCUGGGCCAUAACUGACGCUGAGAAGCGAAAGCAUGGGGAGCGAACAGGA